rnacentral:rRNA from 1 species
GAUGAACGCUGGCGGCAUGCCUAAUACAUGCAAGUCGAGCGAACGGACGAGGAGCUUGCUCCUCUGACGUUAGCGGCGGACGGGUGAGUAACACGUGGAUAACCUACCUAUAAGACUGGAAUAACUUCGGGAAACCGGAGCUAAUACCGGAUAAUAUAUUGAACCGCAUGGUUCAAUAGUGAAAGACGGUUUUGCUGUCACUUAUAGAUGGAUCCGCGCCGCAUUAGCUAGUUGGUAAGGUAACGGCUUACCAAGGCAACGAUGCGUAGCCGACCUGAGAGGGUGAUCGGCCACACUGGAACUGAGACACGGUCCAGACUCCUACGGGAGGCAGCAGUAGGGAAUCUUCCGCAAUGGGCGAAAGCCUGACGGAGCAACGCCGCGUGAGUGAUGAAGGUCUUCGGAUCGUAAAACUCUGUUAUUAGGGAAGAACAAAUGUGUAAGUAACUAUGCACGUCUUGACGGUACCUAAUCAGAAAGCCACGGCUAACUACGUG